UUACGGCCAUAUCACGUUAAAACAUCGGUUCCCGUCAGAUCUCUCAAGUUAAACAAUAUCGAGCCUGGUAAAUAAUUAGAUGAGUGAUCACCUGGGAAUACCAGGUG